rnacentral:rRNA from 1 species
UACGUAGGGACCGAGCGUUGUCCGGAAUUAUUGGGCGUAAAGAGCUCGUAGGCGGUGUGUCGCGUCGGCCGUGAAAACCUGGGGCUCAACUCUGGGCGUGCGGUCGAUACGGGCAUCACUUGAGUUCGGCAGGGGAGACUGGAAUUCCUGGUGUAGCGGUGAAAUGCGCAGAUAUCAGGAGGAACACCGGUGGCGAAGGCGGGUCUCUGGGCCGAUACUGACGCUGAGGAGCGAAAGCAUGGGUAGCGAACAGG